rnacentral:rRNA from 1 species
GACGAACGCUGGCGGCGUGCCUAAUACAUGCAAGUAGAACGCUGAAGGAGGAGCUUGCUUCUCUGGAUGAGUUGCGAACGGGUGAGUAACGCGUAGGUAACCUGCCUGGUAGUGGGGGAUAACUAUUGGAAACGAUAGCUAAUACCGCAUAAUAGCAGUUGUUGCAUGAUAACUGUUUGAAAGGUGCAAUUGCACCGCUACCAGAUGGACCGGCGUUGUAUUAGCUAGUUGGUGGGGUAACGGCUCACCAAGGCGAAGAUACAUAGCCGACCUGAGAGGGGGAUCGGCCACACUGGGACUGAGACACGGCCCAGACUCCUACGGGAGGCAGCAGUAGGGAAUCUUCGGCAAUAGACGGAAGUCUGACCGAGCAACGCCGCGUGAGUGAAGAAGGUUUUCGGAUCGUAAAGCUCUGUUGUAAGAGAAGAACGAGUGUGAGAGUGGAAAGUUCACACUGUGACGGUAUCUUACCAGAAAGGGACGGCUAACUACGUG